rnacentral:rRNA from 1 species
AGAACGAACGCUGGCGGCAGGCCUAACACAUGCAAGUCGAACGCCGUAGCAAUACGGAGUGGCAGACGGGUGAGUAACGCGUGGGAACAUACCCUUCGGUUCGGAAUAACUCAGGGAAACUUGAGCUAAUACCGGAUACGUCCGAGGUUUUAAUCGACCUUGGAGAAAGAUUUAUCGCCGGAGGAUUGGCCCGCGUCUGAUUAGCUUGUUGGUGAGGUAAUGGCUCACCAAGGCGACGAUCAGUAGCUGGUCUGAGAGGAUGAUCAGCCACAUUGGGACUGAGACACGGCCCAAACUCCUACGGGAGGCAGCAGUGGGGAAUAUUGCGCAAUGGGCGAAAGCCUGACGCAGCGACGCCGCGUGGGGGAUGAAGGCCUUCGGGUUGUAACCCCUUUCAGCAGGGACGAAGCGAAAGUGACGGUACCUGCAGAAGAAGCGCCGGCUAACUACGUGCCAGCAGCCGC